ACGCUCGACACCUACGGGAGCAGCAGUGGGGAAUAUUGCACAAUGGGGGAAACCCUGAUGCAGCGACGCCGCGUGAGCGAAGAAGUAUUUCGGUAUGUAAAGCUCUAUCAGCAGGGAAGAAACUGACGGUACCUGACUAAGAAGCACCGGCUAAAUACGUGCCAGCACGCCGACGGUAAUCUGAGGCCGGGGUCGUGGACGAAGGC
rnacentral:rRNA from 1 species